rnacentral:rRNA from 1 species
UACGUAGGGGGCAAGCGUUAUCCGGAAUUAUUGGGCGUAAAGAGUGCGUAGGUGGUUUUGUAAGCGCGGGGUGAAAGGCAAUGGCUCAACCAUUGUAAGCCUUGUGAACUGCAAGACUUGAGUGCAGGAGAGGAAAGUGGAAUUCCUAGUGUAGCGGUGAAAUGCGUAGAUAUUAGGAGGAACACCAGUGGCGAAGGCGACUUUCUGGACUGUAACUGACACUGAGGCACGAAAGCGUGGGGAGCAAACAGGAUUAGAACCUCCG